rnacentral:rRNA from 1 species
GUGGAUUAGAUACCCUAGUAGUCCACGCCGUAAACGAUGGAUACUAGCUGUUUGGUAGCAAUACUGAGUGGCUAAGCGAAAGUGAUAAGUAUCCCACCUGGGGAGUACGAACGCAAGUUUGAAACUCAAAGGAAUUGACGGGGGCCCGCACAAGCGGUGGAGCAUGUGGUUUAAUUCGAUGAUACGCGAGGAACCUUACCAGGGCUUAAAUGUAGUGGGACAGGCUUGGAAACAGGCCCUUCUUCGGACUCAUUACAAGGUGCUGCACGGUCGUCGCCAUCU